AUUGAACGCUGGCGGCAGGCUUAACACAUGCAAGUCGAGCGGGGUGAGGUGCUUCGGUACUGAUACUAGCGGCGGACGGGUGAGUAAUGCUUAGGAAUCUGCCAUUUAGUGGGGGACAACAUUCCGAAAGGAAUGCUAAUACCGCAUACGUCCUACGGGAGAAAGCAGGGGAUCUUCGGACCUUGCGCUAAAUGAUGAGCCUAAGUCGGAUUAGCUAGUCGGUGGGGUAAAGGCCUACCAAGGCGACGAUCUGUAGCGGGUCCGAGAGGAUGAUCCGCAACACUGGGACUGAGACACGGCCCAGACUCCUACGGGAGGCAGCAGUGGCGAAUAUUGGACAAGGGGAGAAAGCCUGAUGCAGCCACGCCGCGUGUUUGAAGAAGGCCUUUUGGUUGUAAAGCACUUUAAGCCAGGAGGAGGAUACCUGGAUUAAUACUCUGGGAUAGUGGACGUUACUCGCAGAAUAAGCACCGGCUAACUCUGUGCCAGCCGCCGCGGUAAUAC
rnacentral:rRNA from 1 species